UACGGAGGGGGCUAGCGUUGUUCGGAAUUACUGGGCGUAAAGCGCACGUAGGCGGCUUUGCAAGUUAGAGGUGAAAGCCCGGGGCUCAACUCCGGAAUUGCCUUUAAAACUGCAUCGCUAGAAUUGUGGAGAGGUAAGUGGAAUUCCGAGUGUAGAGGUGAAAUUCGUAGAUAUUGGGAAGAACACCGGUGGCGAAGGCGGCUCUCUGGACCGUAACUGACGCUGAGGCGCGAAAGCGUGGGGAGCAAACAGG
rnacentral:rRNA from 1 species